rnacentral:rRNA from 1 species
GGAUCAGUAAGUUGGCCGUGCCUCCGGUAUGCACUGGCUUUACUGAUUCCUCCUUCUUGAAGAACUGUAAUGUCAUUAAUUUGGUGUUGCAGGGAAACAGGACUGUUACUUUGAAAAAAUUAGAGUGUUUAAAGCAGGCACACGCUUGAAUACAUUAGCAUGGAAUAAUGAAAUAGGACGUUGAUCCUAUUUUGUUGGUUUCUAGGAUUGACGUA